GACGAAAGCCGAACUCUGGCCGGAAGCCAGGAUGGUCCCGGCGACGGUCGUGGAUGUCGUGGUUUUUUUGCGUUUAACCUUCGGAUUCGAGGAGCCCGGAGAGAAUGAGGGACAGCGAGAAAGAGGGACACCGUUGCUUCCUAAGCCUUGCUGAAGACUCCACAUCUCAUAUAGAGAAAUGAUUUUUAUUCACCAGGAGGAGGACAUCCUAGGAGCAGGAAGUCGUAAUCAUGAAACAGCUUCUUUUAAUCAUUUAUAUCAAGUAAUCAUAUAGUGUAAUACUUGGAAGAUGAAGCCAAGUCUUUGUUGCGGAGAGAAUGGAUUGCGGGUAGAAUUGAUUGUAAAAUUAUUUUUUACAGAAGAGCAGGACAUAGAAGUUAUGAUCCAUAGACCUAUAUAGAUCGGUGACUGGAUGGGUAGAUUAUUUCCUAGCGAAGAGCAAAUGAAGAGCAAUUUCUUCAGGCAAUCAACAAUUCACAACCCACAAUAAUUCCUGCAAGUAUGAAGAGAUAAAAGUUGCCAAAACAAUCUAGUAUCUUUCGGGAAUCUAGGCGCGAUCGCGUUUAGAUUCAGUUAUAAAUACUUUGGUUCGACCGCGCUCGCGGCAUUAUUCUUAUUAGAAUUAUACAAGACAUACAUUUUCUUCGAGAACAAAAAUAGUCGACUGGCGGAUAUCCAAAUAUGAUAUCAGGCAUGAUCUCGAGGACAAUCCAUUGCGAGCAAUCUGCCGGGAAUCUGUUCUUCGGUGUCAUCUCGGUUUCACCCUUCAUUAAGCGCGAUUAAUAAGCGCGAGCAAUCCAAGUCUUUCCAAAGACUUCUCGAUAUUACUAAUCCCUCAUCUUUUAUUAAUGAAAUUUCGUCACACGAUGAUGAUAUCUUCCUCCUAAUUAUCAUUGCCACUGAAGUAAUCAAUUUUGGGAGGAACAAUUGAAACUUGCCUCAAACUGCAUAUUAGAAAGUAUGUUUUCAUAAUUGCUACCCUAAUUGUUUAUGAUCAUUGUUCCAUAAUGCCACAUUUGUGAGAAAAGUAAAAAAAGCCGGGCUUUUGUAAUGUAAAUUUCACGCAAAUUUACUGCGUAUUCACUGCCACCACGUGCACGCAUAAUACAGAAUCCAAGCGAGGGGUUAUCGUUGCCGGGACAUCGAUGGCGCGAUCACGUUCCAAGUGUAAGCGUACCUUGAGAGUUGCGAAAGAGAAUGCGCGAGAAAGAGUCGGGUCAACGAUCAGUUUCUCGAAUUCGAAAUACAUUUAAUGUACAUGCACGGGGUGUCCCGGCUGCGGCACGUCGUGCGCUUCGUGAGAUAUCACUCGCGCGCGUACGCCUCGGCGAAUCUGCCAAAUGCUCCUCCGGUUAUCUCGUGUGCACCACGUCAGGACAGCUUUGCAGGCUCGCUGCUCGCUGGAUGUAACAUAAUGUGACGAGUCAAAGUGCAAGGUACACAUUGUCCCAGUUUUGCGAAUGUCCUUCAGUGCUGCUGUCAGGAUCAGCCGUGACUUAUCAUGCGAGGUCGCUUGGCUUGACCCUGUUUGAACGUCAUUGAAAAAGAUGAAAACAUGAAUAUUGAAACAAGUGUCCUUGUAUAAUUAAUAAAUACAUAUUGUGCUUCGCUGCAAGAGACUCUAAUUUAAUUUCACAAUUGUGAUCACAAUUUUGUAAAAUUUUGCGAGAUUUAACGAUGGGAAGCGACAGAGCAGUGUACGCGACGACUGAUAUUAAAGAUGCAUGUUUUAUUGUAUGUUCAGUGAUAAAUGGAUUAUUUAUAAUUUAUUCAAGAUUAUCAAUAAUGGACUACGCAAAAUAUAUCAGCUGCUGCAUGUAUACUGGCAUUUAUACUCCCUGCUGAUGAAAGGCGUUCGUGAUCAAUAACGGAUUGACGCGCGUGGACUUUUUAAAAUUCUCGUUGCGAAAGAAGAGGAUGAGAAUAGAUUGCCCAGGACAUCGGAGAGAUAAGUGCGAAAAAGUGUGUCAUAAAGGCGGGUGCUUUCCAAGAAGAACUCUUCGUCGCAAUAUACUUCAAAGAUGAAGCAACGAGAGCAGUCUGGACGCUGGAUAAACAUGUCGGUGCCAUAUACGUUUUAUCGCGAAAGUUAGUGCCUUGAAUACGUUUGUUUUAAAUACAUCAAUGAACGUGCGGUGUUGGCGAUUACGUUUCGGUAACAGUGUUCUAGAAAUACUUGCACAGACAUGUCUGUUUUCUCAAUAUUAAAAGCUAUAACCAGUAAUAUAUUAGCAUCAAGUCACGCGAUAUGAACCGUAUUACUUUUUCCAGAUCGCCUUUUAAUUAUAAAGUACAACGUUAAACAUUCAUAACACUGGCUCUUCGUCAUCAACCACAUCCACAACUUUUUCGUUAAAUCUUUUAGAGUAACCAUCACCGUUUAUCCAAUUAACAUUCGCAAAUGUUGAUAUCUUAUAAUCUAUUUAUUAUUUAAGAAUAUUAAUAAUCGAGACAGUCUUAAUUAUAAGAUGAUUAUAAGGAUAUUGAUAAUCCAGACAGUCUUAAUUACAAGAUGAUUUUAUAAUUAAGACUGUCUGGAUUAUCAAUAUUCUUAAAUAAUAAAUUUUAUAUUUUAUCAGAGAUACAAAGUAGUAAGAUAAGAAAAUUUACUACGAUUUAUUUUGGACAAAAGAUAUAUUCAUACUAGAGCAAUAGCUACAGGUCUGAGAGCAAGUAUCUAUCGAGAUUAAACAAAUAUACAGCCAUCGCGAGUCGAAUAACGGAAACAGGCGUGUGCACGGUGAACUGACAAGACGGCGGCCCUUGAAUUUGCAACACAACCACCGCCUCGGCGUUCGGUUGGGAGACCAAACUGUCGGAACCAGUUGGACAGUCGUCUGCCAUGAAACAUUCGCGCUAUCAGCAUUCUCUCAUUAUAGCAAACGAAAAUAGACGUUGUUACUUCGUCGCUUACGCUGACCGGCGGUUCAAAGCGCGCGGUGUUAUUCUUAGCCGAAAUUCAAAGUCUUACGUAAAACCGGCCCGCGAUGUAGGUAUGUAUAACGAUGUGCUUCGCAGCGUCAUUAGGCCAACGAUGUUUCUUCAUGCUCGAUGUCUCGGGUCCAUUCGCUCAUCCGGGUAGAUUCAUCAACCCGGAAGAAGCUGUACCGUCUUACAAGCAGUCCGAAUAGCUAUUCUGGGCAGGUUGCUAUCUCGGCGAAGGUACAUGUGGCAUAAGUCAAAAGAGAGGGAAAGCUUAUGACUCUCUCCCGCGCAAUAAUUUAAUUAAUCGAUAACUUAAUCGAAUAUCGAUUACUUUUAUUCGGCAAUAUUUUUCGGUGGAUAACUGCCGUAGAAAAAAAGAUUUAUGUUAGAUAUAAAUUUAGGAAGAAUGAUGGGACGUCGCUCUUUGUUCCGAGUUUUGACACGAAUAUGGCUAACUGCGGUACUUUUGAUGACCCAGGAAAUGGUGUGUACUGCUUUUACGACGACAGUAUAGUCAAAAAGGCCAUUUAAUAAUAGUUUAUCAGACCGAACACGUGUUUCGAUGUACUUUAUUCGCCGCUAACGCGAAUUUUAGAGAAGUCGUUCUAAUUAUAGAACCGGGGAACAUUACGGGCACGCGCGCCGUCGGUGCUGUAAAAAGAGAGAGAGGGAGAGGGAGUCAUAUUUAUUUAUAACGAUUUUUAUAAAUGACGUGCUAAACAGUUAGAAUGAAACCACCUGCCAGACGAACGAUCGAUCAUAACGUAUCUUGAAGUGAGUACAAACACUGACAGACCAAUGAAAUGCCGUCCGCGGCUCGGUACGUUCCUCUCGAUUGAAGAUACACGUGUAUGAAUAAUUGCCACUUGAUUGCUUCGUUCACGAAUCUCUCCCGAUAGUCGACGUUCCACGCUACAUUAAAUUCUUUGAUCCAGCGUUGAUUGUCAAUUACGAGCCUCGAUGCAACGGCGACCCGAGAUUCAAUCACGUCGAGCACCACGCGUGAUCCAUCGCAAUGAUCUUCAUCGAAGCGAUAAACACAUGACGCUAAAUCAUCAGCAUACGUACUCCCGCACUUCGCUAGAGAUACCCGGAAGAGAAGUGAAGAAAAUGCGCGGCAACGCACAGCAUCUCGGACUCUCUCGCGCCAGCUUCGAGUCGUCACAAUGCCU